GUGAGGAAUAUUGGACAAUGGGCGCAAGCCUGAUCCAGCCAUGCCGCGUGCAGGAAGACGCAUCUAUGGUGUGUAAACUGCUUUUGUACGGGAAGAAACACUCCCUCGUGAGGGAGCUUGACGGUACCGUAAGAAUAAGGAUCGGCUAACUCCGUGCCAGCAGCCGCGGUAAUACGGAGGAUCCAAGCGUUAUCCGGAAUCAUUUGGUUUAAAGGGUCCGUAGGCGGUUUAAUAAGUCAGUGGUGAAAGCCCAUCGCUCAACGAUGGAACGGCCAUUGAUACUGUUAGACUUGAAUUACAAGGAAGUAACUAGAAUAUGUAGUGUAGCGGUGAAAUGCUUAGAUAUUACAUGGAAUACCAAUUGCGAAGGCAGGUUACUACUUGUGGAUUGACGCUGAUGGACGAAAGCGUGGGGAGCGAACAGGAUUAGAAACCCCUGUAGUCC
rnacentral:rRNA from 1 species